UACGGAGGGAGCUAGCGUUGUUCGGAAUUACUGGGCGUAAAGCGCACGUAGGCGGCUUUGCAAGUUAGAGGUGAAAGCCUGGAGCUCAACUCCAGAACUGCCUUUAAAACUGCAUCGCUUGAAUCCGGGAGAGGUGAGUGGAAUUCCGAGUGUAGAGGUGAAAUUCGUAGAUAUUCGGAAGAACACCAGUGGCGAAGGCGGCUCACUGGACCGGCAUUGACGCUGAAGAGCGAAAGCGUGGGGAGCAAACAGG
rnacentral:rRNA from 1 species